UUACGGCCACAUCACGUUGAAACACUGAUUCCCGUAAGAUCACCAAAGUUAAGCAACGUCGAUCCUGGUCAGUACCUAGAUGAAUGGCCGCUUAGAAAUACCAGGUGUUGUAA